rnacentral:lncRNA from 1 species
CGGGGUGUGCCAGUGUGGGUACUUUCAUAUGACUGGUGUGUCCAGUUGUCCACUUUCAUAUGACGUGGUGUGUCCAGUGUGGGUACUUUCAUAUGACGUGGUGUGUCCAGUUGUCCACUUUCAUAUGACGUGGUGGUGGUGUGUCCAGUUGUCCACUUUCAUAUGACGUGGUGGUGGUGUGUCCAGUUGUCCACUUUCAUAUGACGUGGUGGUGGUGUCCAGUUGUCCACUUCAUAGACGUGGUGUGGUGGUCCAGUUGUCCACUUUCAUAUGAGUGGUGGUGUGUCCAGUGUGGGUACUUUCAAUGAGGGUGUGUCAGUUGCCACUUUCAUAUGAUGUGGUGUGUCCAGUGUGGGUACUUUCAUCACCAUGUUUUUGAAUGAACAAAGUGCCUUGGCCUGAACCUGCCCAUGGUUACUCUGUCUGUGUGUGUGUUUGGUCUUUCUUU